CGGUAAUUCCAGCUCCAAUAGCGUAUAUUAAAGUUGUUGCCGUUAAAAAGCUCGUAGUCGAACUUCGGCCUUUGCCGCCCGGUCCGCCCUAUGGGCGUGUACUGGAGCGGUGGAGGCUUACCUCGUGGUGAACGGCCAUGCUCUUUACUGGGUGUGGUCGGGAACCAUGAUUUUUACUUUGAAAAAAUUAGAGUGUUCAAAGCAGGCUUACGCCCGAAUACAUUAGCAUGGAAUAAUAAAAUAGGACGUGCGGUUCUAUUUUGUUGGUUUCUAGAAUCGCCGUAAUGAUUAAUAGGGAUAGUUGGGGGCAUUCGUAUUCAAUUGCUAGAGGUGAAAUUCUUGGAUUUAUUGAAGACGAACUACUGCGAUAGCAUUUGCCAAGGAUGUUUUCAUUGAUCAAGAACGAAGGUUAGGGGAUCGAAAACGAUCAGAUAUCGUUGUAGUCUUAACAGUAAACGAUGCCGACUAGGGAUCGGACGAGGAUUUUUACUGACUCGUUCGGCACCUGAAGAGAAAUCUUUAAGUCUAGGUUCGGGGGGGAGUAUGGUCGCAAGGCUGAAACUUAAAGGAAUUGACGGAAGGGCACCACCAGGUGUGGAGCCUGCGGCUUAAUUUGACUCAACACGGGGAAACUCACCAGGUCCAGACACGACAAGGAUUGACAGAUUGAUAGCUCUUUCUUGAUUUCGUGGUUGGUGGUGCAUGGCCGUUCUUAGUUGGUGGAGUGAUUUGUCUGGUUAAUUCCGAUAACGAACGAGACCUUACCCUGCUAAAUAGCCCGGCCGACUUUGGUUGGUCGCUGGCUUCUUAGAGGGACUAUCAGCGUUUAGCUGAUGGAAGUUUGAGGCAAUAACAGGUCUGUGAUGCCCUUAGAUGUUCUGGGCCGCACGCGCGCUACACUGACCGAACCAGCGAGUUUAUCACCUUGGCCGGAAGGCCUGGGUAAUCUUGUGAAACUCGGUCGUGAUGGGGAUAGAGCAUUGCAAUUAUUGCUCUUCAACGAGGAAUACCUAGUAAUCGUGAGUCAUCAGCUCGCGUUGAAUUCGUCCCUGCCCUUUGUACACACCGCCCGUCGCUACUACCGAUUGAAUGGCUUAGUGAGGUCUCCGGAUUGGCUUCUGGGAGCCGGCAACGGCACCUAGUCGCUGAGAAGUUGAACGAACUUGGUCAUUUAGAGGAAGUAAAAGUCGUAACAAGGUAGCCG
rnacentral:rRNA from 1 species